UGCAGUCGAGCGGACAGAUGGGAGCUUGCUCCCUGAUGUUAGCGGCGGACGGGUGAGUAACACGUGGGUAACCUGCCUGUAAGACUGGGAUAACUCCGGGAAACCGGGGCUAAUACCGGAUGCUUGUUUGAACCGCAUGGUUCAGACAUAAAAGGUGGCUUCGGCUACCACUUACAGAUGGACCCGCGGCGCAUUAGCUAGUUGGUGAGGUAACGGCUCACCAAGGCGACGAUGCGUAGCCGACCUGAGAGGGUGAUCGGCCACACUGGGACUGAGACACGGCCCAGACUCCUACGGGAGGCAGCAGUAGGGAAUCUUCCGCAAUGGACGAAAGUCUGACGGAGCAACGCCGCGUGAGUGAUGAAGGUUUUCGGAUCGUAAAGCUCUGUUGUUAGGGAAGAACAAGUGCCGUUCAAAUAGGGCGGCACCUUGACGGUACCUAACCAGAAAGCCACGGCUAACUACGUGCCAGCAGCCGCGGUAAUACGUAGGUGGCAAGCGUUGUCCGGAAUUAUUGGGCGUAAAGGGCUCGCAGGCGGUUUCUUAAGUCUGAUGUGAAAGCCCCCGGCUCAACCGGGGAGGGUCAUUGGAAACUGGGGAACUUGAGUGCAGAAGAGGAGAGUGGAAUUCCACGUGUAGCGGUGAAAUGCGUAGAGAUGUGGAGGAACACCAGUGGCGAAGGCGACUCUCUGGUCUGUAACUGACGCUGAGGAGCGAAAGCGUGGGGAG
rnacentral:rRNA from 2 species